rnacentral:lncRNA from 1 species
AAAAAGAACACUGAAAAUGACAAAAAGCUACGCAACUUUUUCACAAAAAAAAACCCACCCCCCUGAUAUCGUCUUCUCGAAACGAUUCCCCCAUUGGACUUGUAUUUUUGAAAGCGCAAAGCAACGCUUCCAUCUCCGAACCAGAAGUCUCACCCCAUCUUCUUCUCCAUUCAAACAACAGACCCAUCAACUCCUCCCUUCACCAUCGAACUCGCCUGAAAAUGGACAACCCCACCCCAAACGACCCUAUCGAUUGAUCUUCUUCAACCAUUUACAACAUAAGAACACCCUCCCUAUUUUGCUUCCAAGAAACAGAGGAUACACACAAGAUAGAACCACCAGCUUGCCGGAAAACAUGUAGUUUCAGUGGCCCUUCAUUGAAUCCGGCGAAGUAGGGGUUCGAACCAGCAACUCUCGUCCUCUCUUCAUCUUUAAAAAUAGCAGCAUACCCCAAAAUUCUCGUCGCCUUUUCAGUGUUUGGGUCAUCAUUACUCAGUCUUCGAUUUUAGGUUUGAGUUUGAAAUGUCAUCGUGCUUCAUGUUGGUUAGAGAUUCUUGUUCAAGGUUCCUGGUUCUAGUUCGACGAGGGCCUGCGUUGAGGCUCUCCGGUCUGGUCUAGGUCAAGUCGAAUAGCUUUCCUUUAGUAGAUCUGAGGUCCGACUGAGGUUCAGUCGUAGUUCCAUUCGAGCUCACUGUUGCUUUGACGAUUGGAGCAGACUAUUUAUUUUGUACAUCUGGCUGGAGUUUCUAAUUAAAAGUGAAGAAGUUUUUGCUUUAACUGAGGUCUAUUUCUUACUCUUUCUCUUCUUCAGUUAUAUAUGUUCUUAUCAUUAUUAUGAUGGAAUGAAGCAAUCUUGUGUGCAUUGGUUUGAGAUUACCUGCGUAUUCGUUUGGAUGGCAUUCAUGCUAUUUUCCUAUUCAAUUCCUGUUGGUUUAAGGACUAAGAAAUUUUGUGAUUGUUGACUCAUUAAUCGAUUGCCAAGUCUAAUUAAUAUCAAGAAGAAAAGUAAUGAACUAUUGAUGCAUAUAUUUUCCGUUGCUGAAGUAUGCCUAAUCUUUUGUUAAUAAUUGUUAUGGCCUGUUACUUAAGGCAUUUGUAUAUCAGUUAGAAGUUACAACAUUAAUUAAGUGUUUCCUUUUCUACUUCAAGAAAUGUACUAGCUACUAGUAGUUCUUUAUAAUUUAGUCGCAAAUAUGAUGCAAAGUUUUGUUGAUUUUUUUUUAGUUCGAGCUUUCCUUAAAAAGUGGAAUUGGGGCGGACCGUGCCAAAUAAAAUCUUAAAUUGCAUGGCCCUCAUUUAAUUAAUCAUGUUUAUCCUUAGAAAUUGAGGCGUUCCAUUUAGCAAAUUUUCCAUGGCCUUCGCAAAGUUAAAAAUACAUAGUUGCUUUAGGCACGUUAUUUUAAUAACAUUACCUUCCUAAACUCGGGUGCGCAUUUCAUGUUACCCAAAUCCAAAUCAUAACAACGUCAAAUAGAACAUGUCUCAGAUUGCGGGUGCAUUUCAUGUGGUGCGGUCAAAAGACGUGUGUUGGUUGACGUUGAAAUCUUCCACAAAAUAAUUCAAAGCGGUUUAGAGUUAAAGUAUACCAUAGGCUAAAACAUGUACUAAAAUCAGAUAAUAGGCCAAUUGUAAUAGUUGAGCGACUGCGCUAGAAUCACAAAACUCGGGAAUGCCUAACACCUUCUCCUGGGUUAACAAAAUUCCUUACCCGGAUUUCUGUGUUCGCAGACUGUAAAAUAGAGUCAAUCUUUUUCUCGAUUCGGGAUUUGAACCGGUGACUUGAGAUACCAUAAAUUAUCCCAAGUGGCGACUCUGAGUUUAAUAAAUAAAUAAUCCCGUUUCGAUUGUCACUUCAAGUUGGAAAAAACUCCCUUAUAUACCCCUUACGGGGGUGUAGGAAAAAUGAGGUGUGACACUACCCAUAUGUGCUAUUCAAGCUUACAUAUCACUUAUCAUUUCAAUGUUUCUUUAGAGGUGUUAAUCAUUUUUUACACUUUUCUCGAAUAAAUUAUGCUUUUGGUACUAUGUAUGUAUCUCAUAUAUUCGUACCAUUCAUUCAACACGAUACAUGUGCCAUCUCCUUAUUAUUCGGGCCUUUGCCCAUUUGUCAUGCCAUAUGACAACAUUACUUGGAAUAAACAAUAGAUCUUUUAAACAUACCUUGAAGAUCAACGCAUGAGUUAGAAAACAAUCUUAAAGUCAAGGUUUAUUGCACGAUAUGGAGUGUUGAAGAGGGGUAACAUUCCUAAAAUGUCCAUGUAGCUUCCAACUUAUAGAUGUGGUCGGCAACACACCGAUAAGAAGGACUCUACUAGACACAGCUCCGAGACAUCCUAGGCCACUUUAAAACCUUAGGCUCUGAUACCAAGUUUGUCACGCCCCAAAAUCCGAGGAGUGCGACCGUCGCUCAACCGAGUAAACCCGACUGAACAAGCCUGUUAGGUUUCAUACUACCCAAAUUCGUCUUUGAAUAAAAAGGCAAUGUACACCAUUAAUCAAAUUCUAUAAACAUGUCAGUAACAAUUCCAUUUCAUUUCCAUUAACAACUUCGUUCACAAUUUUGAAGAUAUUACAAGUUUUACACAUCAUUGCCAAACAUCAAUAUUUUCACUUUAAUUCCAAUACCCGACACUACCCACAACCUAUCUACGGAGCCUCUAAAUACAACUGAAGAGUUAAUAUAGAAAUGCCGGCAACAAGGCUCCGGCUACAUCUCAAAUACAAUGUACAUGAUAAACAGAUGAAACAGGACACCGAAACGAAGUGGGACUCACCAAUUUAGCUAAAAGGAUGAUGCGACACUAGCUGCGACCAACACUACCUGCUAUAGAAACACCUACAUCCAUUUAAAGAGAUAGCGCCCCCGGCAAAAGGGACGUUAGUGCCAUCGAAUAGCACUAGUGUGUAUAACUAAACAACAUCUAGUUAGAAAGAACUUUCAUACAAGAGUAAUGAGGAAAUCAUAAAGACAACAAAGUUUCAAAUAAGCACCAUGUCAACAAUAUUAGGAGUUUCACAUGAUUUUCACAUAGUUUCAGAAAUUUUAGAUUGGAGCAUCCUACACUGUUGCAUCAUUAUCCACUUUGCCACCGCUUCUUUGAGCAGAGUCCGAUCACGGCCCGAUCAGCUAAGCCGUCUCCCGGAGACGUUACCAUUAUUUCAUUCACACUUUCCAGUUUCAAUCAUCAAUAUAUUACCACCAUGUGUAUAUAUCAAGGCAUCCGAUCACGGCCCGAUUGGCUAAGCCGCCUCCCCGAGAUGUUACCAUUUUCCAUUAUUCAUCUCACUCCAAUCUUUGGUUACACAAGUAUUAGUUUACCAGCACUCGGGUCCAUAAUUUCCACGUUCCAUAAUUCACGUUUCACAUUGCUCCCAUCUUCAACAUUUACUUUUCCACUAAAGAUCAUAGGCACAUACAAAGGCAAUUUAAAUCAUAAGCAUAGAGNNNNNNNNNNNNNNNNNNNNNNNNNNNNNNNNNNNNNNNNNNNNNNNNNNNNNNNNNNNNNNNNNNNNNNNNNNNNNNNNNNNNNNNNNNNNNNNNNNNNNNNNNNNNNNNNNNNNNNNNNNNNNNNNNNNNNNCCAAGAAUCAUACCUCAAUAACCCAUCUCACAAUGUCUACAACACCAACACAACCUAGGUUAGGCACCUAUGGCUUCCAAUCACCAUCCCAUGAGUUACAAUACUUAAUUCAUACUCAUAUUUCCAUAAUAACUCCAUAUAUGUAAGUCCAAGGGUAAAACAUUACCUCUUAUAGACCAAAUCUUGAAAGACAACUUUUGGGAUGUUCCUGAGAUUUUGAAGAAAUCCUAUGAAAUCCAAUCAAAACCAUGUUUUAACUAGUGAUUGAGAAGUGAAAUCACCAUGAAAACACACUUAAAAACUCACCUUAGGUGUGCAAUUGGAUGCCUUGGCCGGAUUGGGGAUGGAGAGGAUGCCCUAGUCUUGAAAAAUUACUUAAAUCCUCUCAUUUCCCGUCCUUAGGUGUAUUUAUAGGUCUGCUACUAGUGCGCCCGCGCUAAGACCGCGUUCACGAGACAGAAUGCUUCUCAAUAUGUGCGGCCGCGCUUCCGCCAUGCACCUAGGCGCGCAUAUGACACAUGCCUAGUAAAAUGGUCGUAACAUUCUGUAUGCACCUCCAAAUGACGAACGGUUUGAUGCGUCAGAAACUAGACUCAAAGAGCUUUAAUUUGAUAGGUUGUGCAUCACACAAAACUUUAUAUAACUAUAGAUAUAAUUGUCCAAAGUGAGGUUUUGUGUGUACUAAUUCACAACUUUAGUCCAUUAUGAAAUUUUCCAACUUGGCUUAGACUUAGGCUUCUCCUUAGACCUCAAAUAACUUAUAAUAUGAUUCAUACACUUAUUAAAAUAUCCAAUUAAUAUCCAUUAUAUCAUGAAUCCUCAUUUUUACACAAAAUAAAAUAAUUAGCCUACCUUGGCACCACGAAAUCUUAAAUUACUUAGCAAAAUUUUCUAGGGCUUUACAGUGCUGAUAUUGAAUUUUGGAGAAGGGAAAUGAGAUGGUGAUUGAGGUAUAUGUCUCAAAUGAGACAACCUAGCCGAUCGGGUCAUGAUCGGACUCCGCUCAAGAUAGCGAUGGUAUUGAGAACAAUGAUGAACAUAUGAAAUGCCCCAAACUAAUGUUAUGGAAAUCAUGUGAAAGUUGUACGAUCCUUUUUUCUUGAUGAUGUGGUGUUCGAUUAAAGCUUUGAUUGUCUCUUGUGAUUUCCUUGAAUUAUUGUCUGAUAGUUCUUUCUAAUAAGAUGGUGUUUAGUUAUACAUACUAGUACUAUUCCAUGGUACUAACAUCCCUUUUGCUGGGAGCGCUACAUUUUUAAAUGAAUGUAGGUAGCUCCAUAGCGGAUAGUGUCGAUCACGCGUAGCGGAGUAUCCCCCUCUCAAAGUCUUGGUGAGCCCCUUUCUCCUUCAAGGGGUUAUGUUGUACAUCUUUUGUUAUAGAUAUCAACUUUUAAGGUAUAGCCUGGGCCUUGUUGUCGGCGUUGCUAUAAUUGUCUUUUGUAUCCUUAGAGGCUCUGUAGACAUUUGCGUGGUUAUGUAUGGUUAUUGGAUGGGUCUAUGAACCAUGUUGUAAUCUUAAAAUCUUGAUUCCC